GAUGAACGCUAGCGGCAGGCCUAAUACAUGCAAGUCGAGGGAGAAUGUUGGAUUCGUCUGACAUGAAACCGGCGCACGGGUGCGUAACACGUAUGCAACCUACCUUUAACUGGGGUAUAGCUCAGAGAAAUCUGAAUUAAUCCCCCAUAAGACUACGACAUGGCAUCAUGAUGUAGUUAACGCUCCUGCGGUUAAGGAUGGGCAUGCGGUACAUUAGCUAGUUGGUGAGGUAAUGGCUCACCAAGGCUACGAUGUAUAGGGGGUCUGAGAGGAUGAUCCCCCACACUGGUACUGAGACACGGACCAGACUCCUACGGGAGGCAGCAGUAGGGAAUAUUGGUCAAUGGACGCAAGUCUGAACCAGCCAUGCCGCGUGAAGGAUGAAGGCCCUAUGGGUCGUAAACUUCUUUUAUUAGGGAAGAAAAAACGGGAUGCGUCCUGUACUGACGGUACUUAAUGAGUAAGGAUCGGCUAACUUCGUGCCAGCAGCCGCGGUAA
rnacentral:rRNA from 1 species